rnacentral:rRNA from 1 species
AUGUUCUUUUAUGCAAAUAAUGCAGUUACGAUAGAUCAACCGGCCUUCUGGGAAAUGAGCUAUAUGCUCAGAGUAAGAGGAUCACGAUCUGACAAUUCAUCAACUCUAACUGAUAGUGAGUCUAUCAGGACAAAGGAAUCAAGCAAACAGGAACCAAGUAAUGCAGGAGCUUGCUUGAAAACCAGUAAUCAAGGUUACGUGGAUAUACUAUGCCCGGUGUUCUUGAAGGAUAUCUCAAGGGCCAUUGUAUCUGCUGGAAAAUCAUUUCAGCUUGUUCAGCAUGCUCAAAGCACACACCAUAAUCGAACUAAUGAUGGCACAAAUGGUUUUGACGUUGAUCAAUGUUUCAAUCACAGUAGUCGACAGAAUUGGCCAGGCGUAUUAAGCUCUGAUAUCCAAAAUGUGCAUUUAAGAUGUGAAGAUGCUCUUACAAAAUCUGCAGAUAUCCAAGCUUUUUUGGAAUAUAAGAGGGAUGCACAAGGAAUGGAGGAGGCAUGUGCAGAAAAUUGCUCCGAGAAGACUUGGUUAAAGCUCCUAAGAGAUGCUAUCUCAGGAACAAAAUAUGAUGGUAUGGAGAAAAACUUGUCCGAAGAUGCUGUUACGAGGGAUCCAAUAUUUGUUCAUGGAUACCUGCAAGAUGUAUCUUCCAAUGCAGUAGAAACGCCUUUCAGUCCAUGUUGCUAUGAAAACCCAGCUAUCACUGCUUGCGGAGAUGUACUGCGGAGGAAUCCAAAUUCUUGGAGUGAUUUGAAUAUCUCUACACGUUUUGCCCUUCCUCCAUUGAAUGAUGAUAACAUGCGGAGAACUAUAUUUGGUGACCGCCAAUCUGCUGGAACUAGCACCUGUGGCGAUACACAACCUACACCAUCUUUUCCCAGACUAGAUGGUACUGAUUUUAAAUUUGGUUUUCGGUUGAUGAUUUGGAAUAUGUUCGCCAAGAGGAUGAUAGAAGGACCCUCGAGGAACUUUAUGCAUUUCCGACUCUUCUUCCUUGUGCAAAUGAAAAUGCCCCAUUGUCGGGGAUUUUACCUUUGCAGAAAGAUAGUACACUUGCAUCAAGAGUUCUGA